UAAAAAUAUAAAAUUUUAGGUUUCAAAUAUUAGAUUUUAAAUUUUAUACCCUCUCCCCUCUCUCAUUCUCUCUCUCUCUAUAUCUAAAUUUAAAAUUAAAUAUUUAAAAUUUAAACUUUUUUACUAUUUGAGAUUUAAAUUUAAAUUUAAAAUAUAAAAUGGGGAAACUUAAAAUUUAAAUUUUAACAUUUGGAAUUGAAAUUUCAACAUUUGAAAUUUAAUAUUUGAUUUUUUUAAAUUCAAUUUAUAAUUUAAUAUUUAAAUUAUUGAAUUUUGAAAUUUAAAAUUGCAACUUAAAAUUUAAAAUUUUAUAUUUUACCUUAAUUACUAAAACUAAAAUUUGAAAGUUUAAAUUCUAAAUUUCAAAUUGCAACAUUAAAAAAAGGGGAUUUUAAUUUCGUAUGUACAAAAUUAAAUUUUUAGAUAAUUUGAUAUUUUAAAUUUUAAAUAAAUUACAUAAAUUUUUCGCCGCGAAGUGCGGUGCUGGCCUUCACUAGUUUAUAAUGAAUUCUGAGAUAAGGUUUUUAGAAGGUAAUUAGCAAAUUAAUUUUAUUUUAUCAAAUUUAGUAUACGUGAGAGAAAAAGUAAAAGUGGUGAAUUACUCACCCUCUUUAAAAAGUGAUGAAUUGUUCACAAUUUUUAUGUUGUUAUCAUUAUCGUUCACCGAUUAAGUAUAUAUUAUUUUUAAGUUUUAUUAAAAUGGUCGACGAUUAAUCGUUUUCCAAUUAUUGUUCCAUUCUGAUGUUGAAUUGGACCAAAAUAGUGUUAUUUGACCAAAUAAAUUUUGGCCAAUUUACAUAAAAAAUUUACUAGUUUUGAGAUUUUGCAAAAGUGAGCAACUAUUUUAAAUUUUGCAGAUUCAACUCAAAUUUUUAGUAAACUGACCAAAACACCCUUAUUUUUUUCUCUCUUCUUUUUUUUUUUUCGCUCAUUCAGUUUCUCCUUCAGCUCUAGUUCAUCUCCAUCCUCGUUGUUUCUUCCUCUCCUUCUUCUCCUGCUUCCUCUCCUUUUUUUCUCUAAUUCCAUUGCUCCUAUAUUGAUGCUGCACUUUCUCCUUUUUUUUUUUUUUGCUCGUUCAUUUUUCUCCUUACGCUCUGGCUUAUCUCGCUCCUUGUCAUUUCUUCUUCUUCUCCUCCUUUUGCUUUCUCACAGCCUCUACAUCGAUGUCACGUCCACUUUCUCACCUCACCUGCACUUCUACCGAUGCCAGCUCGGAUAUAAUAUA
rnacentral:lncRNA from 1 species